rnacentral:rRNA from 1 species
CCUACGGGAGGCAGCAGUGAGGAAUAUUGCGCAAUGGACGAAAGUCUGACGCAGCCAUGCCGCGUGCAGGAUGACGGCCCUAUGGGUUGUAAACUGCUUUUGUAUGGGAAUAAACCCUUCUACGUGUAGAAGGCUGAAGGUACCAUAAGAAUAAGCACCGGCUAACUCCGUGCCAGCAGCCGCGGUAAUACGGAGGGUGCAAGCGUUAUCCGGAUUUAUUGGGUUUAAAGGGUCCGUAGGCGGGCCGAUAAGUCAGUGGUGAAAGCCCAUAGCUCAACUAUGGAACUGCCAUUGAUACUGUCGGUCUUGAGUAUAUGUGAUGUUGGCGGAAUGUGUAGUGUAGCGGUGAAAUGCUUAGAUAUUACACAGAACACCGAUUGCGAAGGCAGCUGACAAAUAUAUAACUGACGCUGAGGGACGAAAGUGUGGGGAUCAAACAGGAUUAGAUACCCUGGUAGUCCACACCGUAAACGAUGAUUACUAGAUUUUGGCCUUAUGUNAGAGUCGAGAGAAGUAGUUAAGUAAGUACACCGUGGGUAAGGUACGUCCGCGAGAGUUAGAACGUACGAAGAAGUUAGAGGCGNGAGAGNGCCGACGGACGACGACGAGGGAGGAGG